ACCUUGAGCUCAGUUAAUUCUUUACUAAUGUGAAAUUCUCAAACAACACAAACAUAAACCAUCAAUAUUAGCAGCAGUUAGGUAGUUGUUUUGUAUGAUCAUAAUUGACAAAUGUAGAUGAGAAGCACCAACUGUAAAUUUAAGUGGGGUAAAGGAAAUGACACAUAUGGGAAGCUUAUUGUCUGUCUAAUCUUGUGACAUGCAGUUUAGAAAUUCUUAGUCCUUUGAACACCAAGACAAGUAUGCACGGACUGAUGAAAUGAGAGGUCUGAAAAUUUUAAGUUUUUAAUCACCAAGCAUUUAUUUUGGAAACUUACCACUGAGGUUCUAGCCGACUACAAAUGCAUCAGGAUUGUAAUAAACGUCUACCUCUUCCAACAUUCUGAACUCAUUCUCAGCGGCAGGAAGAAAGUGCAACGCAUGGGCAUCUGCCCUUUCAUUUCUAAAGAUUCUGAGAUUUAAUUGAAUAUUCUCGUUCUGUCAGCUGUGAGACUGGAAUUUUGCUGAUCAAGAUUAGCUUGAUCUGGAAAGUAUCAUUUACAUUUAUUUCCCCAUGAUAUAUUUUAAUGCUAUGUCUGGGAUGCACCCUCCCUCUAGACUGACCAGUCCACAGCUGUGGGUGAUGCAUGCUAAAGAGGCAGCCAGUGAAAGCUGCUCAUUGCCCACAUGCAGGCCCAGUCUGGACAUGUAUGGACCCUUAAUGAGUUGUCAUGAGUCACAAGAGCAUUUCGGAAAAAAAAAAUGUGAAUUUCAAGUGUUUCAUGACCUUUAAUACUACAGAGACCCAGCUGUUCCUCUUCUUUCUCCUCCUCAGCCUACUCAAGGUGAAGACGAUGAGGAUGAAGACCUUUAUGAUAAUCCACUUCCACUUCGUUAAUAGUAGCUACGUUUUCUCUUUCUUAUGAUUUUCUUAAUAGCUGACUUUACUGUCAGAUGGGUGUGAUUUUUUUGUCUUGCCCUGUGAUGGUCCGUGUGUUCACAGGCCACAGUGAUAAAAGCAUUUAAGAACUCAAAUGUAGCAUCUAGAAUUAUUCAGAUCUCACAGUUGUGUGGACGACUAGAAAGUAUCCCUUAGUUUUCUGAAACUUUGGUUGUAUCUGAGUAUAUAUACAUAUAUUUAAAACAGAGAAAUACAAUUCAUGUUAAUUACAUUGGAAUUAGAGGGAAUUUGUAGAACUGUUGUUAUGCCACUGGAUAAAAUCUUGACAUUAUUAGAAAUGGUCUAUUGGUUAUUAUUAUAUUGAAGAAAUAAUUUGAUUUAUAAAUAGAUUCUUAUUUUCUAGAAGGAGGUAAAAAAUGCAUCUGAUUUUUCUAUGGCGUAAAGCCAAGGCUGGCAAUCUGUAUUCUGGCUGCCUGAUCUUGCCUACCAGUUGUUUUCAUAAAUAAAGUCUUAUUGGAACAGAA